AAGACCUCCUGAAGACUUUCAAUGAGUGCCUUGAGAAUUAUGUGGCUCGCCUGCUCAGACUGUACCGGGCUAGAAAGGAAGCUAUUGGUCAGCAGAUAGAAGACUUCCUGGAUAAGCUUGAUGAACAAACAUCAGACAUUGUGUCUCACCGAAAGAUGACAUCACUGAGAUGCCUCCCCGUUUUUGUCUGGGACGACACAACUAAGUGUGGAGAGACGCAGCCGACGGGCCGACAGCGGGCGGACAGAGGCGUUCUGGACCAAGAUGAAGGCCAGGAGGCGGGGCAUGCGGCGUGACGCACGCGGAGCGGCAGGAGGACGGCCAUCGGAGUCAGCUGCGUAGGACACACAUCUGCUCACAAUCUGCGCAUCUGCUCCUAGACUUUAAGAGAGGCGAAGGGGGCACGAUUGCGAGAGGGAAGACAGGAAAGGAAAGGAAACCACGGCAGCCCGACCACGAGCCCGACGACAGAGAGCAGUCCGCAACGAGUCCCCGCCACAGACGCAGCAGGCGAGCACCAAAGGGUGCAGAGCGACCAGGAAGAGGUGCCGGCGCACUAGAAAUGGGUGCGCCCGACUGGCCCGAAGAAAGGUUGUUUGAACCAAUAAAUGGGAAUCAAACCUGCUACGAUGCGUCGUGUGUUCAAUGUCACAGCAACCCACACGAGGACGGCUGGGAGUUUGUCACAUACGUUUUUCCUGCAGCAUUUGGAAAGUGACCCUGAAGAAAGAGUGCUCAGAGGCGUGUCUGUUGGCAUCCUUACAAUCCUUGAAGAAGAUGAUCCUGCUGUAUCACCCAACUUACGGGACUAGGCUGUUGUGUU